CCUUAGCAAAGGCAAAAUCACACACGUGCCGACACAGUUUUCGGGGUGCUGUCUGGAAUUCAGAUCAGUCGAUAGCUGGGGUACGUGGAGGUUUAAC
rnacentral:sRNA from 1 species